CUAAUUUUACAUACUAUAAAAGGUGUGAGAAACAUGCUACAAUGAAAGGUCUGGCACUAGCUUGUAUCUUGUCCUUUUAAAUGUCAGGUUGUUUAUACAGGUUAAGAGAGUUCAUUUAUUAUUUAAUAAAUUGUGAUAUCUGCCUGACAUAACGUCACUGUUUUACUUUGACAAAAAUAAAAAAUAAAAAAAAACUGAAAAAAUGUCUAACUGCACAACCACAGACCACACCCUCUAAAGUUUCUGGAACAAGAUUCAAACUGAUUUUAUAUUUCAGGAAAAGACACUAAUAAGUUGUACAUGAUACGCCUGACGUAGGUGCACAAAAGUUGUCAUGGAAAUCUUACCAUUCGAGGAGGUGGAGCGUGUUGCUGGAGCCAAAGUACAGCUGCAGCAAGGUGGUGUCACUGGUAUUCAACAGCAUGGCUAUUACAACAUCAUCUCUACACCACUACAAGGUUUCUCAGAAGACUCCAGUGAUGAGGAUGACCACAUGGCACCACUGGCACCUAAAAGUGAGGAAGGCUCUGUGUGCUGCGUUUGUGGUGAAAACAUCCCCUUACUGAAUAAAUUGAUAGAGCACUUCAAGACGCACACAGCUGAGGUGUCUUGCCACCUGUGUUGGACAAAGUUUGGAAGUGUUAUGUCACUGGCAUUACACUUAAAAAAUGCCCAUCCAAGGAAAAGUUUCAUGUGUGGAAUCUGCAGAACUCUCUUUAGGUGCACGUGGAAUCUGAAUGGACAUAUGGAAAAGCAUCGGAAAGACGCAAUGGAGGUAAAACCUGUGGUUAAAUGGAACAGACAGAAGAAAUCAGCAUCAAAGAGAACAUAAGAUACACUGAUAUGAGAAAAAUAACCUUGAGGGAUCAUUCAUAUUGUGUCUCAGAUCAAGCACUUACAAAUGACACUUGCAAUGCCAUCCAGAAACGCAUCGACAAUGAUACAAACUCCACAAAUCAAGUGUCACACAUCAAAACACAAACCAAAAGAUUGCCUAUUAUUGAUAAACAAAGCAAUAGCUUCAGCUUUUCCUCAUGCCCUUUGAAUCAAUCAGAGCAAGAGCAUUUAAGCUUUAAACUGAAGGAAGAGAAUGAGGAUGAGGUUGGGCUUGGAUAAACUGCUGCUUGUGAGGUGGCUACAGAGGAGGAAAUUGGACUGAUGGAGGAUGACGAAAGUACUGACACUGAUGACGAUGUCAACACUGAUUCACUACCCCCUGGUGACACGGCGCACAACCCGGAUGAGGACUUCAGCUCAGAAACUGAUGACAGUGACUCAAGAAGCAGCUCCUAUAGCCGUUACCGAAAGAAAAAGAGACGAAAGAAACAGACUCCCGACAGUAAAAGACCUGCAAAUAGGAAUCUAGAGUCAGUUGACACAGCAGAGAAAUCGCCAAAUUCGCUAAU